CUAGAUGGUUGGAUGAUCGCUGGCUGAACAUUUGUAAUGUCAUUAGCUGGAGGAAAGUCCGGGCUCCACGGAGACACGAUGCCGGGUAACGCCCGGCGGGGGUGACCCUAGGGAAAGUGCCGCAGAGAGUAGACCGCCUAUAUGAAUUUAUUCAUGGGUAAGGGUGAAAGGGUGCGGUAAGAGCGCACCGCAGACACAGUAAUGUGUCUGGCAUGGUAAACCCCAUCGGGAGCAAGACCAAAUAGGAGUGGCGAGCUGGAAUUACUAGCAAACGCGUUUCCGCGUUGUCAUUCGGGUAGGUCGCGAGAGGCGACUAGUGAUAGUCGUCCCAGAGGAAUGGUCAUCUAUUCUAUCGACUUCAAAAGUGAUAGAGGGACAGAACCCGGCUUAUAGACCAUCUAGCUUU
rnacentral:RNase_P_RNA from 1 species